rnacentral:rRNA from 1 species
AGUGAACGCUGGCAGUAGGCCUAACACAUGCAAGUCGAACGGCAGCACAGUAAGAGCUUGCUCUUACGGGUGGCGAGUGGCGGACGGGUGAGGAAUACAUCGGAAUCUACUUUUUCGUGGGGGAUAACGUAGGGAAACUUACGCUAAUACCGCAUACGACCUACGGGUGAAAGCAGGGGAUCUUCGGACCUUGCGCGAUUGAAUGAGCCGAUGUCGGAUUAGCUAGUUGGCGGGGUAAAGGCCCACCAAGGCGACGAUCCGUAGCUGGUCUGAGAGGAUGAUCAGCCACACUGGAACGGGGACACGGUCCAGACUACUACGGGAGGCAGCAGUGGGGAAUAUUGGACAAUGGGCGCAAGCCUGAUCCAGCCAUACCGCGUGGGUGAAGAAGGCCUUCGGGUUGUAAAGCCCUUUUGUUGGGAAAGAAAAGCAGCAGGUUAAUACCCCGCUGUUCUGACGGUACCCAAAGAAUAAGCACCGGCUAACUUCGUG